CCUCACUAUUGGGCCGGUGUGGGGCCGGGGAAGGGAGGGGAGGAUUAUAUGUGCAGACCUUCUCCUUGUUCGGGGCAUUCAGACCCUGUGGUCUGGUCACAGCCUGCCACCAUCGGGCACGUGUUCCUAGCAGUGGGAUGGUAGCGCCAAGGGGAGGGGCCAGAAUGACAGACAACAAAGAAGAACGCAGAGAAUUAGAAGAGGGGAUGUGCGUGAGAGUUCCUAGUCUGGGCCACCAGGAAGGUCUCUGAGAGGCAGUGACAGUGAAGUAGAAUCCCUGAGUGAUGACGAGGAGCCAGCCACUAGUGUUCUGGUGAUUCUACUUUUAAACACCUGGCUCUCUGGGGUAGGGGGAGAGAAAAAUAAAUGCUCUGAUAUGCAGCAUCUGCUGAUUCCCGUGGUGUAAAUACUCCUAAUUUCAAGCCACCAAAGUGAUGUCAGCUGUCAGCCGGAUUGCAAAAUUCCUGAAUAUUUAACAAUGGGCUCCGG
rnacentral:lncRNA from 1 species